UAGGUGAACUCUGCGGAAGGAUCAUU
rnacentral:rRNA from 1 species